AUGCCGCAUUAACAGGCCUAAAUCCAGAGCUCUUUCAGCUUCUGUCAUCAAAAGCGGUUUUUUGUAUUCCAAUUUGUUUCUUUAAAUUAGAUAUUUAAUUUCCUUUAUUAUUUUUUUUUAUUCUACGCUAUUUUGCCAAACUAUAAAGGUGAACUGUGCCAAAUAAACACGCUUCUCAUUUAGGAAAUGGCUAAUAAGCUUGUGCUUUUGUUGGCCGCGGUGGUGCUGCUCGCGUUGGUCGCUGCCCAGGACGAUGAAGAUGACCUGCCGGUCUAUGAGCGGGCAGAGCAGGUGAACUUGGAUGCUGAGAAGGCACCGGGUCUGUUGCGUGUGCGCCGCCGUGGUGGUGGACAUGGCGGUGGACACAGCAGCGGACAUAGUGGUGCACAUAGUGGACGAGGUGGUGGGCAAAAAACACCAUCCACGAGACGUCCUCGUUACAAACUUUUUUGAGUAACAAUUGAGAGGAGAGUAACAUUUUUUGAUUGAAAAAAUAUGAAAGGCCUUAAUUUAUUUUGCUUCUAAACAGAACUUAACGACUGUAAUUUCAUAAGGCAAAAAUCAUAAUAAAUACAAUCUGUAUUUUUCAAUAAUUAUUAUGUGGAUCAAAUAAAUUAAUAGUUUUAUGUACC